AAGAUCAACAUAUUGCAACUUGACAAUGAUGACGUAACAAAUAUGAGCAUGUAUGAUGAAUAUAGGUAACAUUUGUAGAACAAUUUAUUGAAUUUCACUGAGUUGGCAUUUAAUGAAAUCUGAAGAUGAAAGAGACAAUUGAAAAUAAACAAUUUGCAAUUGAACAAUCAAUUUUUUUAACUUUCUUAAGAGUAAAUUGGAAAGUGUAGUCUUCUUUUUAAGGUAUUGUAAGUGUGGUAGGUAGAGUUGAGUGUGUUAGGUGAGAGUUGAGUGUGGUAGGUAGAUGUAAGUGUGUUAGGUGAGAGUUGAGUGUGGUAGGUGAGUAUGUUUUUCUCUUCUAUAUAUAGGAGAG